rnacentral:rRNA from 1 species
UAGGGAAUAUUGGGCAAUGGAGGCAACUCUGACCCAGCCACGCCGCGUGCAGGAGGAAGGCCCUCUGGGUUGUAAACUGCUUUAGCAGGGGAAGAAAAAGCGCAUGCGUGCGAAAUUGACGGUACCCUGAGAAUAAGCACCGGCUAACUACGUGCCAGCAGCCGCGGUAAUACGUAGGGUGCAAGCGUUGUCCGGAUUUAUUGGGUUUAAAGGGUGCGUAGGCGGUCUAUUAAGUCAGUGUUUAAAUUUUGCAGCUUAACUGUAGGUAUGGCAUUGAUACUGGUGGACUUGAAUAUUAGAGAGGUAGCUGGAAUUUAUGGUGUAGCGGUGAAAUGCUUAGAUACCAUAAGGAACACCGAUAGCGGAGGCAGGUUACCAUUUGAUGAUUGACGCUGAGGCACGAAAGUGUGGGGAUCAAACA